AUUCCAGCUCCAAUAGCGUAUACUAAAGUUGUUGCAGUUAAAAAGCUCGUAGUUGAAUUUCUGGUCGUGGCAACCGGUCCGCCCCUCACGGGGUGUGCACCAGGUUUCUGCGGCCAUCCUCGGGGAGAGCACAUCGGGCAUUCAGUUGUCUGGUGUGGGAUCCUCGUCAUUUACUGUGAGCAAAAUAGAGUGUUCAAAGCAGGCUUAGGCCGUUGAAUACAUUAGCAUGGAAUAAUAAGAUAGGACCUUGGUCUAUUUUGUUGGUUUGCAUUCCAAGGUAAUGAUUAACAGGGACAAUUGGGGGCAUUAGUAUUCAGACGACAGAGGUGAAAUUCUUGGACCGUCUGAAGACUGACUACUGCGAAAGCAUUUGCCAAGAGUGUUUUCAUUG
rnacentral:rRNA from 1 species